AUGUGAUGGCGAUAACGUGGAAUGUCACUGAGCACAUAAUCUUCCUGCGCUCGCUGGCCGUCAUCUGCAACUUCUCCCACUGGAAAGACAACACAGAAUGUGAGGCUCAGGCUUCUGGGGAAGGGCUCUGGUCAGGUACCAGGUGCAGCCAACUUUCUAUGCAAUGAAAAGAAGGCGGGAACGAGAUGAAACUGAACUAUCAUCAAAAAUCUCCUUGUCUGCUGAUUCUUGCAAGCAGACAUAAAAUGGCCUAAUAAAGAAUUCUAUGAUUUCAGUCCUAAUGAAAACAUUAUGUUGGCCCAGAACCCAGAUGCUACGUUUUAAGUCUUCCUGUGUUGACUGGCAUGGAGGAGCGGAAGAAGAGGGUUGAUGAUGCCACAACACACUAGCAGAUGGCUCACGCUACAUCACGAAGGUGAAUGGCAGAAGACGCUCACUCUUUGGUCCUCGCUACUUUGGCAGCAACAGCUCGAAAUCGACGCUAAGAGUUCUGAGUACAAGCAGACUCUGCCAGUCUCAUCUCCUCUAGGAGCACAUUAAUUUACUCCAAAUAGCCAGACUUUUUCAUCUACUGGUUUCCGAAUCAGGAGAAAACACAUAAAG